UACGAAGGGUGCAAGCGUUACUCGGAAUUACUGGGCGUAAAGCGUGCGUAGGCGGUUCGUUAAGUCUGUCGUGAAAGCCCUGGGCUCAACCUGGGAACCGCGCUUGAGACUGGAGAACUAGAGUUCGGGAGAGGAUGGUGGAAUUCCCAGUGUAGAGGUGAAAUUCGUAGAUAUUGGGAAGAACACCGAUGGCGAAGGCAGCCAUCUGGACCGACACUGACGCUGAGGCGCGAAAGCGUGGGGAGCAAACAGG
rnacentral:rRNA from 1 species